GUCUCUGAGUGUUUGGUGUGAUUGUAGUUAACAAUUUGUAUUAACUUGGAGCUAUGUUUCGUGUUUCUGUUAUAAUUUGUUGCUCGCUUGACAUGUUAAUUUAUUUAUUUGGUUUUAAUUGAAUUGCUGUGUGCUUAAAUUAAGUCGUGUAUGUUAGAGUACUUAUUCAAAUAGGUUAAAAUUGUGAUACUAGUUUGAGCUAUAUCGUGUUUGGGUUUAGUACUCCCGUGGUUGACAUCAAUCUGUUAACUCCAUAUGACCUGAACUCCGAGAGUCAUGGUUUCACGAUUGCUCAGGCAAGUAUUUUUUUAAUCCAAGUUAUUGGUCUUGGCAUCAUGGUCGCGAUCUGUUUGGUCUCGUUUUGUUUUAACUUCUGUCUGUUAGAUUAUUGAAUCUUUCUUCAUUUUUUUCUGCCUCAGGAUUGUCAACCUUAUUUGCCCUGUCAAGGAGCUAGACAGGAGGUUAUAAGAUCUGACAGCUUUAAUUUAAAGUCACACCAACCUGAGAAGUCGUGGAAACCAUUAAGUGGGC
rnacentral:lncRNA from 1 species